rnacentral:rRNA from 1 species
GACGAACGCUGGCGGCGUGCUUAACACAUGCAAGUCGAGCGGAAAGGCCUCUUCGGGGGUACUCGAGCGGCGAACGGGUGAGUAACACGUGAGUAAUUUGCCCUUCACUCUGGGAUAGCCACCGGAAACGGUGAUUAAUACCGGAUACGACACGUCCAGGCAUCUGGUGCGUGUGGAAACUUUUUGGGUGGGGGAUUUGCUCGCGGCCUAUCAGCUUGUUGGUGGGGUAAUGGCCUACCAAGGCUUCGACGGGUAGCCGGCCUGGGAGGGUGACCGGCCACACGGGGACUGAGACACGGCCCAGACUCCUACGGGAGGCAGCAGUAGGGAAUAUUGGACAAUGGGCGGAAGCCUGAUCCAGCAACGCCGCGUGAGGGAUGACGGCCUUCGGGUUGUAAACCUCUUUCAGCACCGACGAAGCGAUCCUUUUGGGGAGUGACGGUAGGUGCAGAAGAAGGACCGGCCAACUACGUGCCAGCAGCCGCAGUAACAC